AUAAGAAAAGUCUACCAUUUGGGACUUUCUUAGGCUAUCCACAUCAGCAUCUGUUCCAUGGUUAAUCCACAUCAGCUUUGGCGGUUACACUUCUCAAAAUUCUCACGCUCUCCUCUUUCUCUUCCAAAACGGUUUCUCCUCUUCUUUCAAAACCGGCACAUUCUCUUCACUCACCAUUCUCUUCAAUGCACGGUUACAUUACAUUGACUGUUUGUCUUCCCAUUUUCAAAACGAUUCAAUCUAUCUUCAAUUACCAUUCUCUUCAUCUCCAUUCAACUUUCACAACCGCCCAUAUCCACCUCUGCCUACUCCGCUCUAGAUCGAAACCAGCGUCGCCUGCAACUGCUGAUUUUGCCGUCGUAUCCCCAACACCGACGACUACACCACUGCCGCGCAUCUACAAUUGAAACAUGGGCUUAAUUAGAGGCUAAAAUCAGAAACAAAUGGAGGAUAGCAACAAACCGAAUUCCCAUCACAAGGGUCUCCGACCAAAAUCACCUAAGGGUCUUCGAACCGGUUAAAUCGGCACUGCUGAUAAAAAGAUAAGUGUAUUUACUUACAACUGUGGUAAAUCAAAGAAUGUUAAUCUGAUUGCCCCACUCCGAAGCCAACGUUCAAUUCAUCCAAUAGAAGAAUCAACAUAAUUCAGCAGUGAAGUCACAAUUGAUGUUGCAAUUGAAUACAAAUUUUGAUUUAGCAAUGUUUAAUGGAGAAAUCCUAUGUCAGAACAUGUAUUGCUCAAUCAGCGGGAACUGACGCUGGUGUUUCAGAGGAUGAUUCUUCUUUUGAUGACUUUUUUUAAUGUUGGCAAAUAGUUUAUGUUACUUCAGGCUCACAGUCUCCAACUUGAGGCCUUUUCAGUUUCCAAUAAGAGAUUAGAUCCCGGCUUGCCGAAACCUAAGCUCCAAUUUGUCAGCAGCUGUAGAAAUAAAUCAGAUGAAAAUAGACUACAAAUCUUAAAAGAGAAAUCAAUUGAGCUGAAUGUGAAUGAACAAGUGGAAUUCCACAAGAAUGUAACAUACAGGAAUGAGGAGUUCUUUUAUUCCUGACUGUCGUGUUAAUCUAUUUCUGAAUGUGAAAGCAGUUUAUUUUAUGAUCCCUUUGCCAAUAAAAUUUAUGAUUAUGCCAAUGGAAUUGCUGCUUUGAGGUCCUUAAAGCUAGAAACCAUGAUCCCAGCUCAGCUGUCAUUUAAAGAUUAUCCUGGGCGGAACUGAGUCAUACAACUGUUGUACCGAAUGAUCUCGGGGCUGAACAUAGUCAUACAAAUGUUGUACCGAAUGAUGCAGGGGCAAAACUGAAUCCUACAGCUGAUAUACCGAAUAUUGUAGGUGCUGGCUAAAAGCAUAUUAAGGGCGUGUGUGGAUCAACCGUAAGAUCGUAAACACCAUCGUGGAUUGAUGAAAUGAUGCAAGCUUGGCUUAGACUGCAUCUCUGCUGUUUUGAUGCUGCAUGUUUUGAUGCAAGCUUGGAAAAGGUUGUUGAUUUCGGUCUUUCGAGGUCAGGUCCAUGUUUCAUGGAAAUCAAACAACAAUGCCCACACAAAUCAGUACCUCUAAGCAAGUGCUAACAUGUUCUGGUGGCCAGUUUCGGUUAUAACGAUUCGAACUUUCUUGUGCGUGCAAAUCCGAGGAAGGUUCCAUGCAGUCGUCGCGAAAUAUAGCCCGGGAGGUAAAAUUCUACAGAUAUUAGAGGAUAACGAGGGAAAGGUUGUUAAAGAAGUGAGUUAAGUGGAGGAGAAGGAUGGUAAACUCUGGAUGGGAAGUGUUUUGAUGCCUGUCAUUGCAGUUUACCAUUUGACACGAAGCAUGUUGAAGAAAUUACAAGUUGGUUUUCCUCUAUUUGAUUAUGAUGUCAUGAAAAACAGACUACAAAAGUAGCACUAUCAUGAAAAAUAACAGCAAAAAAAGAUUGUAAACUUCGGUCUAUCAUUACUGGAAAACUCUUUUUAGAAUA